AUGUCGUUGUUGGUGACGCCUGACAGCGCCGACCGCGCCGAGGCAGUACCUCAUGCCAUCCACCACUCGUCUCCUCCUCGUGCCCAACGCAUGGAACAGUCGGGUCAACAGCCGAGACCGGGCUUUUGGAAGCCGGCGGCGUUAGUGGAGCCAACUCUUCUUCGUCAGUCAUCCUCAUUAUCCUCGUCGGCGAGGGAGGCCCAGGACACAGGCCGGGUCGCUACAGGCGACGAGUUGGAGUGCGGCUCUUCCGGUGCUGGGGCCGGGGACGACCCGGAGUGGGGCGCCGCCGGUGCCGUCGGUGGAAGGAUGGAGGCGGCAGCAGCAAGUGGAGCCGGAGCCAAGGGCGCGGUUGAAGUCGUGGACGUCGUCGCCUCCUUGGUGAGGAGCGCGCGGGACACCCUCCUCCCAUGA
rnacentral:rRNA from 1 species